AAAAGAUUAGUUAAUUUAUAACAUUAGAAUGUCAAACUAAAAUUAUUGUUUAAACAAUAUCUUUUA
rnacentral:tRNA from 1 species